ACGAACGCUGGCGGCGUGCUUCACCCCUGCAAGUCGAACGGAAAGGCCCUGCUUUUGUGGGGUGCUCGAGUGGCGAACGGGUGAGUAACACGUGAGUAACCUGCCCUUGACUUUGGGAUAACUUCAGGAAACUGGGGCUAAUACCGGAUAGGAGCUCCUGCUGCAUGGUGGGGGUUGGAAAGUUUCGGCGGUUGGGGAUGGACUCGCGGCUUAUCAGCUUGUUGAUGGGGUAGUGGCUUACCAAGGCUUUGACGGGUAGCCGGCCUGAGAGGGUGACCGGCCACAUUGGGACUGAGAUACGGCCCAGACUCCUACGGGAGGCAGCAGUGGGGAAUAUUGCACAAUGGGCGGAAGCCUGAUGCAGCAACGCCGCGUGCGGGAUGACGGCCUUCGGGUUGUAAACCGCUUUCGCCUGUGACGAAGCGUGAGUGACGGUAAUGGGUAAAGAAGCACCGGCUAACUACGU
rnacentral:rRNA from 1 species